rnacentral:rRNA from 1 species
AUUGAACGCUGGCGGAAUGCUUUACACAUGCAAGUCGAACGGCAGCACGGACUUCGGUCUGGUGGCGAGUGGCGAACGGGUGAGUACUGUAUCGGAACGUGCCCAGUCGUGGGGGAUAACGUAGUGAAAAUUACGCUAAUACCGCAUACGAUCUAUGGAUGAAAGCGGGGGAUCGCAAGACCUCGCGCGCUUGGAGCGGCCGAUAUCAGAUUAGGUAGUUGGUGGGGUAAAGGCCCACCAAGCCAACGAUCUGUAGCUGGUCUGAGAGGACGACCAGGCACACUGGAACGGAGACACGGGCGAGGCUCCCACGGGAGGCAGCAGUGGGGAAUUUUGGACAAUGGGCGAAAGCCUGAUACAGGCAUUCGGCGUGCAGGAUGAAGGCCCUCGGGUUGUAAACUGCUUUUGUACAGAACGAAAAGGUUUCUACUAAUACUUGGAGCUCAUGACGGUACUGUAAGAAUAAGCACCGGCUAACUACGUGCCAGCCGCCGCAGUAA